AUUGAACGCUGGCGGCAUGCUUUACACAUGCAAGUCGAACGGCAGCGCGGGCUUCGGCCUGGCGGCGAGUGGCGAACGGGUGAGUAAUGCAUCGGAACGUGCCCAGUAGUGGGGGAUAGCCCGGCGAAAGCCGGAUUAAUACCGCAUACGACCUGAGGGUGAAAGCGGGGGACCGAAAGGCCUCGCGCUAUUGGAGCGGCCGAUGUCGGAUUAGCUAGUUGGUGGGGUAAAGGCUUACCAAGGCGACGAUCCGUAGCUGGUCUGAGAGGACGACCAGCCACACUGGGACUGAGACACGGCCCAGACUCCUACGGGAGGCAGCAGUGGGGAAUUUUGGACAAUGGGGGCAACCCUGAUCCAGCCAUGCCGCGUGCGGGAAGAAGGCCUUCGGGUUGUAAACCGCUUUUGUUCGGGAAGAAAUCCUCUGGGUUAAUACCCCGGGGGGAUGACGGUACCGGAAGAAUAAGCACCGGCUAACUACGUG
rnacentral:rRNA from 1 species